rnacentral:rRNA from 1 species
UACGAAGGGGGGCUAGCGUUGCUCGGAAUCACUGGGCGUAAAGGGUGCGUAGGCGGGUCUUUUAAGUCAGAGGUGAAAUCCUGGAGCUCAACUCCAGAACUGCCUUUGAUACUGAGGAUCUUGAGUUCGGGAGAGGUGAGUGGAACUGCGAGUGUAGAGGUGAAAUUCGUAGAUAUUCGCAAGAACACCAGUGGCGAAGGCGGCUCACUGGCCCGAUACUGACGCUGAGGCACGAAAGCGUUGGGGAGCAAACAGGG